rnacentral:rRNA from 1 species
UACGGGGGGGGCAAGCGUUGUUCGGAAUUACUGGGCGUAAAGGGCGCGUAGGCGGCCUGCUAAGUCGAACGUGAAAUCCCUGGGCUCAACCCAGGAACUGCGUCCGAUACUGGUUGGCUUGAAUUCGGGAGAGGGAUGCAGAAUUCCAGGUGUAGCGGUGAAAUGCGUAGAUAUCUGGAGGAAUACCGGUGGCGAAGGCGGCAUCCUGGACCGACAUUGACGCUGAGGAGCGAAAGCUAGGGGAGCAAACGGG